UACGUAGGGUGCAAGCGUUAAUCGGAAUUACUGGGCGUAAAGCGUGCGCAGGCGGUUGUGCAAGACAAAUGUGAAAUCCCCGGGCUUAACCUGGGAAUUGCAUUUGUGACUGCACGGCUAGAGUGUGUCAGAGGGGGGUAGAAUUCCACGUGUAGCAGUGAAAUGCGUAGAUAUGUGGAGGAAUACCGAUGGCGAAGGCAGCCCCCUGGGAUAACACUGACGCUCAUGCACGAAAGCGUGGGGAGCAAACAGG
rnacentral:rRNA from 1 species